rnacentral:rRNA from 1 species
GACAGAGGCCUCAAGCGUUAGGCGGAAUCACUGGGCUUAAAGCGUGUGUAGGCGGAUCGUUAAGUGUCUUGUGAAAUCCCACGGCUCACCCGUGGAACUGCUGGGCAUACUGGCGAUCUUGGGCCAACUAGGGGCAACUGGAACAAGCGGUGGAGCGGUGAAAUGCGUAGAUAUCGCUUGGAACGCCAAAGGUGAAAGCAGGUUGCUGGGGUUGUGCCGACGCUGAGACACGAAAGCCAGGGGAGCAAACGGG